UACGAAGGGGGCUAGCGUUGUUCGGAAUCACUGGGCGUAAAGCGCACAUAGGCGGAUGUGCCAGUCAGGGGUGAAAUCCCGGAGCUCAACUUCGGAACUGCCUCUGAUACAGCACGUCUUGAGUCCGGAAGAGGUGGGUGGAAUUCCUAGUGUAGAGGUGAAAUUCGUAGAUAUUAGGAAGAACACCGGUGGCGAAGGCGGCCCACUGGUCCGGUACUGACGCUGAGGUGCGAAAGCGUGGGGAGCAAACAGG
rnacentral:rRNA from 1 species